rnacentral:rRNA from 1 species
GAAGGUGGCAAGCGUUGUUCGGAAUCAUUGGGCUUAAAGCGCGCGUAGGCGGACUGGAAAGUGUCUUGUGAAAACCCUCGGCUUAACCGAGGAAUUGCUUGGCAAACUAUCAGUCUUGAGGCAAGUAGGGGUACAUGGAACUCUUAGUGGAGCGGUGGAAUGCGUAGAUAUUAAGAGGAACGCCAAUGGUGAAGACAGUGUACUGGGCUUGUACUGACGCUGAGGUGCGAAAGCGUGGGGGAGCGAACGGGAUUAGAUACCCCGGUAGUCCACGCCGUAAACGAUGUCCCACUAGAUCGUGGGAGUUCUGACACUUUCACGGUCGAAGCAAAAGUGAUAAGUAGACCGCCUGGGGAGUACGGCCGCAAGGCUA